rnacentral:lncRNA from 1 species
GGAGAACCUGCCCAAACGUGUGCCCAAUUACCUGCCAUCAGUGAGCUCCGCCAUUGGUGGGGAGGUCCCCCAACGCUACGUGUGGCGUUUCUGCAUUGGCCUGCACUCGGCACCCCGCUUCUUGACAGCCUUCGCCUAUUGGAACCACUACCUCAGCUGUGCGUCUCCAUGUCCGGGUUACCGCCUUCUCUGCCGCAUUAACUUCAGUCUCAAUGUGGUGGAGAACCUCGCGCUGCUCGUGCUCACCUACGUCUCCUCCUCCGAGGACUUCACCAUCCACGAAAAUGCUUUCAUUGUGUUUAUCGCGGCAUCCCUCGGUUACAUGCUCCUCACCUGCAUUCUCUGGCGGCUGACCAAGAAGCACACAGAUCGCAAGUCCUACAGCUGGAAACAGCGGCUCUUCGUCAUCAACUUCAUCUCCUUCUUCUCGGCGCUGGCUGUCUACUUCCGGCACAACAUGUAUUGUGAGGCUGGAGUGUAUACCAUCUUUGCCAUCCUGGAGUACACUGUUGUCCUAACCAACAUGGCGUUCCACAUGACAGCCUGGUGGGACUUCGGGAACAAAGAGCUGCUAAUAACCUCUCAGCCUGAGGAAAAGAGAUUCUA